GGUACUAGAAUCCACACAGACUGCACACAAGUCCGACUUUGGCCAGCCAAUCCAUGUGCAUCUAUGGGUAGGUUCUUAACCAAUUGUCUCUUCAAAUAAUUUUUAGUAAUGAUUUUGCCCUAGAUUUCUUUUCAGUAGGCUUUGACCUCCACUGAAAGUCUCGAUUAAGUCCAACUAUUAACAUGAUCAUACUUAGUACACCUGACUAACGAAUGAUUAAACCUAACUUUGGUUGGCCAAUCUGACCACCCAUC
rnacentral:lncRNA from 1 species